CGGCUUCGCCAAAGGUGUUUUAAUGCGAAAGUCAUAACCGGAAGUGCUGUUUUUGAUUCAGUCUAGUUUGACAUUAAUUUCAGCGGACAGGCAUCCUCUGCUGCGCUCCGCGCUCUGCGUGUGUGGACUGACGGUGAGUGUGUGAAGCGUGUGUGCGUAUGUGUGUGUGUAAACACAGCUCGGUCGGCUCAUGUUAGGAGCGAGGGCCAGGUCUGACUGCAGCAGAUAUUACCAGGUUGAACUGUGCUCGGUGACCGCUCAGAUGAGGAGAUGGCAGCCGAAUCGACCCGGAGAUUCACCAAGAACCUACUGAAACCGGGGAGCGCGGCGGAGAUACGGCAGACGGCGUGCAACGCAGUCAGACACUCCGCAGUGACGCAGGAGAAGCCUAA